rnacentral:rRNA from 1 species
AUGUUGGCCACUGAGGGUAACCUUGCCCUCGUCACCCUCCGCAACGGGUUCUCCCGUUCCUCCUUCAGCACCUGCGCCAUCAGUGACUACUACGAAUACUUCGUCUACCAGGCGGGGGUGCGGGAACUCACCCGGCUCCGGCAACCAUCCCCCGACAUGUUAACUGGGGGAGCUGACUGCUUCGAUGCCGAUUCGAUCGGUGUCGUGCCUUACCGCAGCGACAUUUCCACCCAUGCUCACACCCACAAAACCGUCACCGGCCCUUCUCCCAAGGAUGAUGAUAAUGCCUCUGAUGCCUACAGAAUCGCAGCGCUUGGCCACGACUAUUUCCAUGACUCUGCCAAUGGCCCACACUACCUGUGCAUCUACGACUCCAAGGCCGGGGCCUGGACCCGCAAGCCAGGCGCUAUUCCACGGCCGCCGCCGCCAUCCGAGUAUAUGUGUGACAUGGCCAUCACCAUCGGCUGCGGCUCCAGCCGUGCCAUCGUGGGCUGGGUCGACCUCUGGAGGGGCAUGCUCCUUGCCGACGUGCUAGCCGACCGCAACCCCUUCCACCGGUUCCGCUAUAUCCCCCUUCCCAAGCGGAGGCAUCCGGUAAAUUGCCUCCCUCUUGCCAUUGACAUUGCACGCAACUUCAGGGACAUUGUCUUUGUCAAAGACUCCGGCACCAUCAGGCUCGUCGACCUUCAGGUCCACGCUGACACCAGCAGCAACCCUUUCUCAGAAACCCCCAUUGGCUGGACGGUGGUCACAUGGACCAUGGAGAUGGAGGGGCUUCACGGGGAUUUGGAAACCCUGGGUGGUUUGCGUUUCAAGCAGGAGCUUGAACUUCAUUCUCGUGAUAUCAAGGGCUACAACUUGCCCAAGGCGCUCUUUGUCUCCAGCCCCAUCCUCAGCUCCGGCAAAGAUGUCAUCUUGUACCUCCAGACCAAUAUCAGCAGCGAAACCGACAGGAACUCGCAUGUGAUUGCUGUUGAUCUCAAGCAGAAGAAGCUCAUGGGGGUGAAGGAAUUCGAUAUGCAAAGACCCACCAGCUACAUACGAACUAGCAUCUCCAGCGAUCUCAUGCCGCCAGGCACCGUACCAUUGCCUUCCCGUUAA